UUAAGCGACUAAGCGUACACGGUGGAUGCCCUGGCAGUCAGAGGCGAUGAAGGACGUGCUAAUCUGCGAUAAGCGUCGGUAAGGUGAUAUGAACCGUUAUAACCGGCGAUUUCCGAAUGGGGAAACCCAGUGUGAUUCGUCACACUAUCAUUAACUGAAUCCAUAGGUUAAUGAGGCGAACCGGGGGAACUGAAACAUCUAAGUACCCCGAGGAAAAGAAAUCAACCGAGAUUCCCCCAGUAGCGGCGAGCGAACGGGGAGCAGCCCAGAGCCUGAAUCAGUGUGUGUGUUAGUGGAAGCGUCUGGAAAGGCGCGCGAUACAGGGUGACAGCCCCGUACACAAAAAUACACAUAUUGUGAGCUCGAUGAGUAGGGCGGGACACGUGGUAUCCUGUCUGAAUAUGGGGGGACCAUCCUCCAAGGCUAAAUACUCCUGACUGACCGAUAGUGAACCAGUACCGUGAGGGAAAGGCGAAAAGAACCCCGGCGAGGGGAGUGAAAAAGAACCUGAAACCGUGUACGUACAAGCAGUGGGAGCACGCUUAGGCGUGUGACUGCGUACCUUUUGUAUAAUGGGUCAGCGACUUAUAUUCUGUAGCAAGGUUAACCGAAUAGGGGAGCCGAAGGGAAACCGAGUCUUAACUGGGCGUUAAGUUGCAGGGUAUAGACCCGAAACCCGGUGAUCUAGCCAUGGGCAGGUUGAAGGUUGGGUAACACUAACUGGAGGACCGAACCGACUAAUGUUGAAAAAUUAGCGGAUGACUUGUGGCUGGGGGUGAAAGGCCAAUCAAACCGGGAGAUAGCUGGUUCUCCCCGAAAGCUAUUUAGGUAGCGCCUCGUGAAUUCAUCUCCGGGGGUAGAGCACUGUUUCGGCAAGGGGGUCAUCCCGACUUACCAACCCGAUGCAAACUGCGAAUACCGGAGAAUGUUAUCACGGGAGACACACGGCGGGUGCUAACGUCCGUCGUGAAGAGGGAAACAACCCAGACCGCCAGCUAAGGUCCCAAAGUCAUGGUUAAGUGGGAAACGAUGUGGGAAGGCCCAGACAGCCAGGAUGUUGGCUUAGAAGCAGCCAUCAUUUAAAGAAAGCGUAAUAGCUCACUGGUCGAGUCGGCCUGCGCGGAAGAUGUAACGGGGCUAAACCAUGCACCGAAGCUGCGGCAGCGACGCUUAUGCGUUGUUGGGUAGGGGAGCGUUCUGUAAGCCUGCGAAGGUGUGCUGUGAGGCAUGCUGGAGGUAUCAGAAGUGCGAAUGCUGACAUAAGUAACGAUAAAGCGGGUGAAAAGCCCGCUCGCCGGAAGACCAAGGGUUCCUGUCCAACGUUAAUCGGGGCAGGGUGAGUCGACCCCUAAGGCGAGGCCGAAAGGCGUAGUCGAUGGGAAACAGGUUAAUAUUCCUGUACUUGGUGUUACUGCGAAGGGGGGACGGAGAAGGCUAUGUUGGCCGGGCGACGGUUGUCCCGGUUUAAGCGUGUAGGCUGGUUUUCCAGGCAAAUCCGGAAAAUCAAGGCUGAGGCGUGAUGACGAGGCACUACGGUGCUGAAGCAACAAAUGCCCUGCUUCCAGGAAAAGCCUCUAAGCAUCAGGUAACAUCAAAUCGUACCCCAAACCGACACAGGUGGUCAGGUAGAGAAUACCAAGGCGCUUGAGAGAACUCGGGUGAAGGAACUAGGCAAAAUGGUGCCGUAACUUCGGGAGAAGGCACGCUGAUAUGUAGGUGAAGUCCCUUGCGGAUGGAGCUGAAAUCAGUCGAAGAUACCAGCUGGCUGCAACUGUUUAUUAAAAACACAGCACUGUGCAAACACGAAAGUGGACGUAUACGGUGUGACGCCUGCCCGGUGCCGGAAGGUUAAUUGAUGGGGUCAGCGCAAGCGAAGCUCUUGAUCGAAGCCCCGGUAAACGGCGGCCGUAACUAUAACGGUCCUAAGGUAGCGAAAUUCCUUGUCGGGUAAGUUCCGACCUGCACGAAUGGCGUAAUGAUGGCCAGGCUGUCUCCACCCGAGACUCAGUGAAAUUGAACUCGCUGUGAAGAUGCAGUGUACCCGCGGCAAGACGGAAAGACCCCGUGAACCUUUACUAUAGCUUGACACUGAACAUUGAGCCUUGAUGUGUAGGAUAGGUGGGAGGCUUUGAAGUGUGGACGCCAGUCUGCAUGGAGUCGACCUUGAAAUACCACCCUUUAAUGUUUGAUGUUCUAACGUGGACCCGUGAUCCGGGUUGCGGACAGUGUCUGGUGGGUAGUUUGACUGGGGCGGUCUCCUCCUAAAGAGUAACGGAGGAGCACGAAGGUUGGCUAAUCCUGGUCGGACAUCAGGAGGUUAGUGCAAUGGCAUAAGCCAGCUUGACUGCGAGCGUGACGGCGCGAGCAGGUGCGAAAGCAGGUCAUAGUGAUCCGGUGGUUCUGAAUGGAAGGGCCAUCGCUCAACGGAUAAAAGGUACUCCGGGGAUAACAGGCUGAUACCGCCCAAGAGUUCAUAUCGACGGCGGUGUUUGGCACCUCGAUGUCGGCUCAUCACAUCCUGGGGCUGAAGUAGGUCCCAAGGGUAUGGCUGUUCGCCAUUUAAAGUGGUACGCGAGCUGGGUUUAGAACGUCGUGAGACAGUUCGGUCCCUAUCUGCCGUGGGCGCUGGAGAACUGAGGGGGGCUGCUCCUAGUACGAGAGGACCGGAGUGGACGCAUCACUGGUGUUCGGGUUGUCAUGCCAAUGGCACUGCCCGGUAGCUAAAUGCGGAAGAGAUAAGUGCUGAAAGCAUCUAAGCACGAAACUUGCCCCGAGAUGAGUUCUCCCUGACCCUUUAAGGGUCCUGAAGGAACGUUGAAGACGACGACGUUGAUAGGCCGGGUGUGUAAGCGCAGCGAUGCGUUGAGCUAACCGGUACUAAUGAACCGUGAGGCUUAACCUU
rnacentral:rRNA from 1 species